CCCUAUCCUCACAGAUCGCUCUCCUAUUUUGUACAGUUCGUACGUUUCUCGGUACUGCUUACAUUAAUUGCAGUUUUAAGUGAAAGUGCAAAGCUAUCAUUGUGGCGGCCAACGUGGCAAUGGGGGCCGAGGUCGGAACACCGAAAAAGAGAAACUCCAAAUGCUCGGUGCGCUGCCGUGUCUGGCUGCGCACCAUGCAGGCUCAGGCCGCUGCCGAUGGCAAGGUGGAUGGGAAGGACGGGAAGGCUAAGCCGCCGGGCAACGGGCAGUGGAUGCUGCUUGAGCCGCCCAAGCCGAUAGAGGAGCUGGAGUACAAGGAAGUCAUCCUGAAGUAGAGAGGAAGAGAAGAUGACGUCACGAUGUGAACGGAGAGCGUUUUUUUAGCUUUUUUUACCACUUAUAUCGACUAGAAUGAGAGACUUCAAUAAACUUUUGAUCUUAUAAUAAUUAGCGUUUCUAGGAUUAAGGUAGUUUUUAAGGAUGUGCAGAAAUGGGAUGAGUUCAAAUGGACGUGACUUAAGUCUCAUUCUUCACUAUAGCAAAUUAUUUCUGUGACUCAUCUAUUUAAUUUAGAUCGAUACGAUGACCGAACUGCUAAAUACCUGGAAACCGAUUGUCCGCCACUUAUACAGAUUAUAUUCCGAAUUUCAAAGUCAACUCUCAUCCAUUUAAAUGUGCCAAAAUAUCUGUAAAAAAUUAACCUUUUUGGGGUUUCUUUACAAUAUUCGUCUUAAUAUCGUCCGCCUAUAUAAAAUAGAUCCGGCUGAAAUAAUCCCAGAGUCCCGCUUAAUUAAAUCAAUUUUUAAAGACUGUUAGGAAUCACUAUUAAAUUAAACCUGUAUUUAGACAUUUACGUCCUAGAAGUUAAGGUCCGAAAAUCAAUUGGCAAAAAUUAUCAUAAUAUAUUUUCUCCAUUAGAUUCUGUCUGGCUAACAAAAUCGGAGCACAUUCUACAAUUAAUUCAAAAUUUACAAAUGCUAAGACAAAAACAUUAUAUACAAAACAUGAAAGUAACUAGUAAAAAUGGUAAAAUGCCGGGCCAAGAAAACUUCAUAACGACUCAACAUUUUAAUAAAAUGGAAAUUGAAAAUCGAGAUAUUUUAAAGAACGAGACACAAAAAUGAGAACUUUUGUCCUUAAAAGCAUCUUCCGAAAACUAUAUAACCAUUCUCACAACACGAGUCUAUUUUUAGUCAGUAAAAAAGAAAAGAAUACGUGUGCCAACGAAAUUAACUACAUAUGCCCAUUUUCCAAAAUCAAAUUCAUGUUUACUAUUGACCAGACAGACUUGUUUCUGUAUAAGCUUUCUGGGAAGAACGCAAAACUCAAUAAUUAAAAAAGCUAAAGCAAAUUAAAAUCAAUAUUAAAAGUAUAAUCUGAAUUUAUAAAGCAAAGAAACACAAUCUGAAAGAACAAAACUAAACCGAUGUUUUCGAGAUGCUAAAGAAAAACUCCAAUUCAUUAAAAUCAAAUUCAAAAAAAUCAAUCAAAAAAAUAUCAAAUUCAUAGCCCACUUUUCUCGUACGGUACUCCACGAAAAACUUAUCCAAGUAAUUGAAAAUAAUAAAGAAUGUUGACUCAAUGCUGAAAAUAGUAAGUACUACAAUAAAAAAAUACCAUUAAUCUGUAUCAACCGUUAGAAAAAACAGUAUCGAUCUAAUCUACAUCAAAGAUAUGCUCUGAAUUCACUAUGAUCCAUUGUCACCUAUAUUUCAACUGCAGUUCACUAUAGACCAAAAACCAUACGAAGCAUAUUCAACCUUAAUCCAUCAGCAUUAAAAUACAGAUUAAUAGUGAAGCCAAAUAUGGGAUGGCGGUCACGCUUCAUACCAUCACCAUUUCUUUGGUAGUUUGUAAGCGUAGAUUUAAUCCAAUUUUUUCUUCUAGAUGUAAGGUUUGAGAUGGGCUCACCAACUUUUUCUCCUAGAUUUUAAGAUUAAGACUAAGGUUUUUUCAUCGAUAGGACACACUUUUCCAUUACAAUCCACAAAUAGUUAUGCUGUACUGUUUGAGGAGGGUUAGGUUUAAGGCAUUUCUACUUAUAAUUAUAAUAAUCUUGUGUGAGCAAAACCAGGUCAUUGCUUGUGUGAUCGUGUGGUUUUGAUAAUUAAGGAAAUUAGCAUGUAAUUUGGUACUUUUUCUGAAAUAAAACGACUGCUUUGGUA